UCAAACCAUUGCUAUUAAAAUGCAUGAUUAUUAUGAUAAUAUAGUCUCAAACAUCAAACCCUAAUUAAUAAAAUCCAAAUGACUCGUUAACAAAGAAUUUUUGGGUUUCAUACAUAACAAUAACAAUAAUAAUAAUAAGAAGAAGAAGAAGAAGAAGAAGAAGAAGAAGAAGAAGAAGAAGAAGAAGAAGAAGAAGAAGAAGAAAGAAAGGAAGAGAAAGAAAGUCUUACUUGGCACCAGGUUUGGCAACGUUCUUAAAAAUCCGUUGGCACUGCUUCUAGCUUCCGAUUCACUCGUAAUCUCCGAUUCCGCCUUACCAAAAUCAUCAUCAUGAACAGUUUUCGUUAUCGUCGACAAUCCUGACGAUUUCAUGCAGUGAGCUUGACCGAAGGUUUUGUUUUUUUUCCUCCACCGCCGGAUGUAAUUCCUCCAUCGGAGGACCGGAAAGGGUUUCAAGAAUAUAGUGAUGGAAAACACUCUCUUUCAUUCUAUCAAAGUAUGUUGUUACAUGAAAAGAUGAAGCUAGGGUUUUCACUAAUGCAAUCUUUAUUAGCCAAAUUAUUGCGGCUAAUAAAAUCGCUA